GCUAAUACCGGAUACGUUCUUUUCUCGCAUGAGAGAAGAUGGAAAGACGGUUUACGCUGUCACUUAUAGAUGGGCCCGCGGCGCAUUAGCUAGUUGGUGAGGUAAUGGCUCACCAAGGCGACGAUGCGUAGCCGACCUGAGAGGGUGAUCGGCCACACUGGGACUGAGACACGGCCCAGACUCCUACGGGAGGCAGCAGUAGGGAAUCUUCCGCAAUGGACGAAAGUCUGACGGAGCAACGCCGCGUGAACGAAGAAGGCCUUCGGGUCGUAAAGUUCUGUUGUUAGGGAAGAACAAGUACCAGAGUAACUGCUGGUACCUUGACGGUACCUAACCAGAAAGCCACGGCUAACUACGUGCCAGCAGCCGCGGUAAUACGUAGGUGGCAAGCGUUGUCCGGAAUUAUUGGGCGUAAAGCGCGCGCAGGUGGUUCCUUAAGUCUGAUGUGAAAGCCCACGGCUCAACCGUGGAGGGUCAUUGGAAACUGGGGAACUUGAGUGCAGAAGAGGAAAGUGGAAUUCCAAGUGUAGCGGUGAAAUGCGUAGAGAUUUGGAGGAACACCAGUGGCGAAGGCGACUUUCUGGUCUGUAACUGACACUGAGGCGCGAAAGCGUGGGGAGCAAAACAGGAUUAGAUACCCUGGUAGUCCACGCCGUAAACGAUGAGUGCUAAGUGUUAGAGGGUUUCCGCCCUUUAGUGCUGCAGCUAACGCAUUAA
rnacentral:rRNA from 1 species